AGCGUUUUGAAAUUUAGACAGAAUCUGGUAGCCUAAUUAGUUUAGAAGUUAAAAAUAGGCGAAAAUGUAGGAUCUGCAAUUUGCAAACACAACACUACAAAUUUAAAACGCAAUACUGUACCAACUUUAUAUUUACCAGAAAAUGAAGCAUCAAUAGCUGACCCUGCGGUAGAUGAAUAUUCGACAACCUCAUCGCCCGGCGUAUAAAUAACAGAAAAUGAAGCAACAAUAGCUGACGCAAAUGGAUUAGAGCCAACCUCAUCGCUCGGUGUUAAAAGACCAGGGGCACCUAUUUCUCCAGCCGUUGUUGCGAAAAAAGUUGGAAGAAAGGAAAUAACUAA